UCCGAGUUGACCCCGGCAGUCUCCCAUGAGUCCCCGGCAUGACCCGCUGGCAACAUAGGAUAAGGGUUGCGCUCGUUGCGGGACUUAACCCAACAUCUCACGACACGAGCUGACGACAACCAUGCACCACCUGUGUACGAGUGUCCAAAGAGUUCGUUAUCUCUAACGCGUUCUCGUACAUGUCAAGCCUUGGUAAGGUUCUUCGCGUUGCAUCGAAUUAAUCCGCAUGCUCCGCCGCUUGUGCGGGCCCCCGUCAAUUCCUUUGAGUUUUAGCCUUGCGGCCGUACUCCCCAGGCGGGGCACUUAAUGCGUUAGCUGCGGCACAGAACGAGUGGAACCCGCCCCACACCUAGUGCCCAACGUUUACGGCAUGGACUAC
rnacentral:misc_RNA from 1 species